rnacentral:tRNA from 1 species
GAAUUUAGCUCAGUGGUAGAGCACCUGCCUAAUAUGCAUGAGGACCUGGCUUCAAUCCUCAAAACCA